GGUGAUAGCAGGUCUAUCGUCAGGUUCAUCGCUAGCUCACGAGCAUGCUUUAACGUGCCCUAUAAUAUGUGGGGCGGGUUUGUUGAAGGCUGAAUUCAAGGAUGGAAGUUUUCUUCUGUAUCGGGAAGUUCUACUAGCCAAGUACGCAACAGGCUAUGGUGAACAUAUGGAUCAUAAUAGCUUCUCAUUUUGUUGCCGUCUACGGCGCAAAUAUCUUCACACACAAUCCAAGGUGUCCCAACAAGUAUAUAGAAAAGUGCAUGAGUGAAAAUUUGAAAUGCAGCUGCUUCAUCAAAAGCGACCACGUAACCUACAGGAGAUGUGUUGAACUGGACAAGGACUGUGUUACGUUGUGGCAAAAAUAUUGUCAGGGGGAAGGAUAUUUUGUAAAAUGCAAACCAAGAGGGUUGUGGUUCUGUGGAUGCCAGUGCUGCCACGAACCAACAAUGACUGGCUUUUGCAAGUACAGUUAAGAUGUCAGUGGCACAUUUCGUCUCAACAAGACUGGCAGACUUCAGUACAGUUCACAGCAGUAUAUGUGAUCUUCCCGCAAGAAAAGUUGAGUACGGCAUCAAACCACCACAUCCAGCUAUUUCAGGGCGUUGCGUCAUUACAGUAGACUUCAAAUGAGCCUUACAUUAUUUGCUGAUGCUGUCUGACGGAGUUUGCUCACAAGUCACAAGCAAUUCGUCCGCACACCAAGCGAGCGCACAACGUAACACACUUGAGCUGCAAAGAACUCCCUAAUUGUCUGACAACAAAAACAAAACCGCAACAUUAUUGGACCCACAGAGUGCCGCGACAAUUUGCAUGGUGCUGGUGUCAGGAUAGCUGGUCCACUUAGAAAUGUAAAAAGUAAGUAUUGCUAACCUUUUAUGGAUGCAAGUCUACGCACAUAUAUGGUGCUCACGGUUUUUUAAGAAUAUCGCAUUAGUAAGCGCAAUAAUAUUUUAUGCAUAACAACAUACAUGUAUCCACAGCAUAUGCGCACGCAUAAUUUCAGUUUGAAAUUGUUUGUUUAAAUGGUUUAGUAUGAUACUAUCGCCAUAAUUACAUGAGUAGAAGGAGGUGGGGGAGGACGACAGAAAAAGAACUUGAAGGAAACUAAAGCUCGCCUGUAAGAGUGGAACGCAAUAGCGUUAUCGGGUCCCCUUCACGCCGCCACAGACAACUGAUAUUCGGUGACAUGGGAACCGAAAGAAAAUAGCUGUGGACCGAUCCCGGUAGCAGUGCAGGGAAGUGCAAUGCGUCAUACCCUCGUAAACAAGGAAAAUGGGGUUUGUGUUUGAGUUUCCGUGUAACAAAAUGAUGUUUUCUCCUAUAUACGAAUUACAACUCAAUGCUAUCAUAUCUGUAGAUUGUGUGUAUGUCGGACUUUAAGAAUUAUAUUAGGCUUUAUUUUAUUACGCCACACGGGGAGGGCCUACGUGAUUGUGGUACGGGAUUAUUUUUAUUCACGGAGAAGUCCGCUGACGGUGGACGUCGGCACUGUUUUUUCUGUGACAACGAACCCUUAACGGCGUUAAAAAUGUCUGUUUGCGCGCUGAACCUUCAACAAUAAAGAUGUAUUCAUUCGUUGCUAA